CAUUCAUGCAUGCAAGUCGAUGAUGUUUAUUGCAUCUCAGCGCUAUGAGCAUGUUUGAAUGGACCCGAAAGGUGGUGAACUAUUCUUGGGGAAGUUGACGUCAGAGGAAACUCUGAUUGAGGACUUAUGUGUUACUGACGUGCAAUUCGUUCAUUUUACCUGUGAAUAGGGGCGAAAGACUAAUCGAACCACCUAGUAGCUGGUUCCCCCCGAAGUUUCUCCUAGGAUAGCGGGCGAGAUCUUUAUCAUGUAUAGUAGAGAAAUGAUUGGCGGAUAGGGGGAUGUAUGUUCUUCACCGACUCUCAAACUACAAACGUACAUUGAGUUGAAUACUUAACAGAUUCUUCUCGUAGAAAUACUCGCCUCGUGGACCGUUUUUGGUAAGCAGAUACGGUGCUUUGGAAUGCUCCAAGCCUGAUGAUAAGGGAUAUUGCUAUCGGUUUAAUGCUCUAAAAAGGUGUUAAUACAUUUAGACAGUCCGACGGUGGCCAUGGAAGUUGGAAUCCGCUAAGGAGUGUGUAACAACUCACGGACCGAAUGUAUUAGCCCUUAAAAUUGACUGUGCUCAAACCGUUCGCCCGAAACAUCAGAGGCCUUGUUUUAAUAAGGUUUUGUAGGGGGGUGUAUCGGAUGCGUAGAAGGCCUGUUGUGAAACAAGCUGGAGCUUCCGGUAGUGCAGAUCUUGGUAGGAGUAGCAGUGUUUUAGUAUUAUCCUUAAAGACGGAUGUAGACGAGGUUUUCAUAGACACAUCGUUUGGCUAUGAGUGAGUCGAUCUUAACGCAUUAAUCUGCGGAAAAGGAAUAGAGUUUAAAUUCUCUAACUGGCUUCUUUUGCUAGAGAUGGUGACAUCAUUAUCUUUCACGUUUCUAUGGGUUGCCUGGGGCGUGCGUUAUCUAUGCACUAUAACUAGUUGCCGACUGUCGAAGAGGCUUGACCUAAGAAACAGUUUAAAGCUAGGAAAUAUGGUCCUCUUUGGAUCACCCGGUGUCUCCUAUGGAGCUCUAAGUGUGAGAAUUCUUGCAGUGAGCCAAUCGUACCAACAACCGCAUCAGGUCUCUAAGGUUCAUAACCUUUCGUUUAUGGAAUAAAAUAGGUGAGGGAAAUCGGCAAAUUAGAUCUGUAACCUUGGGAAAAGGAUUGGCUCUGCAGGCAUUUCAUCGGAUCGUUUCUUUCAUUUCGGUUUCUGACUCUGUUGGAGAUUGAUAUUCAUGAUUGAUGCGUGAACUUGGACAUGUGCCAUAGUAGAACUGAGACUAUGAGGGGAAUCCGACAGUUUAACUAAAACCAAGCAUUCUGCUAGUGUCCUUUACUGAAACACAGAAUGUGAAUUCUGCCCGGUGCUUUGAAUGUCAAUGUGAGGAGACUCAUUUAAGCGCGGGUUAACGGCAGGCGUAACUAUGACGCUUUCAACGUAGCAAAAUGCCUCGUCAUCUAAUUAGUGACUCGCAUGAACGGAUUAAUGAGAUUCCUACUGUCCCUGUCAAUUUUCCAGCGAAUCUACAGCUUAGGGAACGGGCUAAGCUUAGACAGAACGGCAAGAAGACCCUGUUGAGGUUGACUCUAGCUAAUUUUUGUACAGUUGCACAAGUGGUGUAGUGGAUGUGGGAGCUCCGGCGAAAGUGAAACACCACAAUGUUUGAAGCCGCUGAACUUACUCUUUACCUUCUAGUUCUGCUAUCAAGUAAAUCUUAGUUUUAAAGAGGACAUUCACUGGUUGGGAGUUUGGCUGGGGCGGUACAUUUGUUAAAAGUCACCACAAGUGUCCAAAGGCUAUCUCAAUAAGAACAGAAAUCUUAUGUGGACUAAAAGGAGAAAAGAUAGCUUUACUUUUUCGUUCAUAAGCCGAAAGAGUUGUGAAAGCAUGGCCUAUCGAUCCUUUCGCGAAGCAGGAGUUGCGCCGAGAGGUGUCUGAAAACUUACCACAGGGAUAACUGAUUUGUGGCAGCCAAGCGUUCAUAGCGACGUUGCUUUUUGAUCCUUCGAUGUCGGCUCUUCCUAUC
rnacentral:rRNA from 1 species